GUUUAGAAAGAACGGUUAGAGUUU
rnacentral:snRNA from 1 species